GAUGAACGCUAGCGGCAGGCUUAAUACACGCAAGUCGUGGGGCAGCAUGAGUAGCAAUACUUGAUGGCGACCGGCAAACGGGUGCGGAACACGUACACAACCUUCCGAUAAGUGGGGAAUAGCCCAGAGAAAUUUGGAUUAAUACCCCGUAACAUAUAGAGUAGGCAUCUUCUUUAUAUUAUAGCUUCGGCGCUUAUUGAUGGGUGUGCGUCUGAUUAGGUCGUUGGCGGGGUAACGGCCCACCAAGCCUACGAUCAGUAGCUGAUGUGAGAGCAUGAUCAGCCACACGGGCACUGAGACACGGGCCCGACUCCUACGGGAGGCAGCAGUAAGGAAUAUUGGACAAUGGGCGAAAGCCUGAUCCAGCCAUGCCGCGUGAAGGAUUAAGGUCCUCUGGAUUGUAAACUUCUUUUAUUUGGGACGAAAAAAGGGAAUUCUUUCCCACUUGACGGUACCAAGUGAAUAAGCACCGGCUAACUCCGUGCCAGCCGCCGCGGUAA
rnacentral:rRNA from 1 species